UAGGGAAUCUUCCACAAUGGGUGCAAACCUGAUGGAGCAAUGCCGCGUGAGUGAAGAAGGUCUUCGGAUCGUAAAGCUCUGUUGUUAGAGAAGAACACGUGCUAGGUAACUACUAGCGCCUUGACGGUAUCUAACCAGAAAGUCACGGCUAACUACGUGCCAGCAGCCGCGGUAAUACGUAGGUGACAAGCGUUGUCCGGAUUUAUUGGGCGUAAAGGGAGCGCAGGCGGUCUGUUUAGUCUAAUGUGAAAGCCCACGGCUUAACCGUGGAACGGCAUUGGAAACUGACAGACUUGAAUGUAGAAGAGGAAAAUGGAAUUCCAAGUGUAGCGGUGGAAUGCGUAGAUAUUUGGAGGAACACCAGUGGCGAAGGCGAUUUUCUGGUCUAACAUUGACGCUGAGGCUCGAAAGCGUGGGGGGCGAACAGGAUUAGAUACCCUGGUAGUCCACGCCGUAAACGAUGAGUGCUAAGUGUUGGGGGCUUUCCGGCCCUCGGUGCUGGAGCUAACGUAUUAAGCACUCCGCCUGGGGAUUACGACCGCAAGGUUG
rnacentral:rRNA from 1 species